rnacentral:rRNA from 1 species
CAGUAGCCGCGGGAAUACGUAGGUCCCGAGCGUUGUCCGGAUUUAUUGGGCGUAAAGCGAGCGCAGGCGGUUUGAUAAGUCUGAAGUUAAAGGCUGUGGCUCAACCAUAGUUCGCUUUGGAAACUGUCAAACUUGAGUGCAGAAGGGGAGAGUGGAAUUCCAUGUGUAGCGGUGAAAUGCGUAGAUAUAUGGAGGAACACCGGUGGCGAAAGCGGCUCUCUGGUCUGUAACUGACGCUGAGGCUCGAAAGCGUGGGGAGCGAACAGGAUUAGAUACCCCAGUAGUCCCUGUCUCUUAUACA